rnacentral:tRNA from 1 species
GGCUGGAGAGAUGGCUCAGUGGUUAAGAGCACUGACUGCUCUUCCAGAGGUCCUGAGUUCAAUUCCCUGCAACCA